GGUAGUCCACGCCGUAAACGAUGUCGACUUGGAGGUUGUGCCCUUGAGGCGUGCCUUCCGGAGCUAACGCGUUAAGUCGACCGCCUGGGGAGUACGGCCGCAAGGUUAAAACUCAAAUGAAUUGACGGGGGCCCGCACAAGCGGUGGAGCAUGUGGUUUAAUUCGAUGCAACGCGAAGAACCUUACCUACUCUUGACAUCCAGAGAACUUAGCAGAGAUGCUUUGGUGCCUUCGGGAACUCUGAGACAGGUGCUGCAUGGCUGUCGUCAGCUCGUGUUGUGAAAUGUUGGGUUAAGUCCCGCAACGAGCGCAACCCUUAUCCUUUGUUGCCAGCGGUUAGGCCGGGAACUCAAAGGAGACUGCCAGUGAUAAACUGGAGGAAGGUGGGGAUGACGUCAAGUCAUCAUGGCCCUUACGAGUAGGGCUACACACGUGCUACAAUGGCGCAUACAAAGAGAAGCGACCUCGCGAGAGCAAGCGGACCUCAUAAAGUGCGUCGUAGUCCGGAUUGGAGUCUGCAACUCGACUCCAUGAAGUCGGAAUCGCUAGUAAUCGUAGAUCAGAAUGCUACGGUGAAUACGUUCCCGGGCCUUGUACACACCGCCCGUCACACCAUGGGAGUGGGUUGCAAAAGAAGUAGGUAGCUUAACCUUCGGGAGGGCGCUUACCACUUUGUGAUUCAUGACUGGGGUGAAGUCGUAACAAGGUAACCGUAGGGGAACCUGC
rnacentral:rRNA from 1 species